UUGCCUACGGGGCGCAGCAGUGGGGAAUAUUGCACAAUGGGGGGAACCCUGAUGCAGCGACGCCGCGUGAGUGAAGAAGUAUUACGGUAUGUAAAGCUCUAUCAGCAGGGAAGAAAAUGACGGUACCUGACUAAGAAGCCCCGGCUAACUACGUGCCAGCAGCCGCGGUAAUACGUAGGGGGCAAGCGUUAUCCGGAUUUACUGGGUGUAAAGGGAGCGUAGACGGUUAUGCAAGUCUGAAGUGAAAGCCCAAGGCUCAACCA
rnacentral:rRNA from 1 species